rnacentral:rRNA from 1 species
UACGGAGGAUCCGAGCGUUAUCCGGAUUUAUUGGGUUUAAAGGGUGCGUAGGCGGCCUGUUAAGUCAGGGGUGAAAGACGGUAGCUCAACUAUCGCAGUGCCUUUGAUACUGAUGGGCUUGAAUACACUUGAGGUAGGCGGAAUGUGACGAGUAGAGGUGAAAUGCGUAGAUAUGUCGCAGAACCCCGAUUGCGAAGGCAGCUUACUAGAGUGUGAUUGACGCUGAGGCACGAAAGCGUGGGGAUCAAACAGG